rnacentral:rRNA from 1 species
UUGCCCCAGUAACGGCGAGUGAAGCGGCAGCAGCUCAAAUUUGAAAUCUGGGGUCCCCGACCUCCGAGUUGUAAUUUGGAGAGGCAUCUUCGGGGGGGAGCGCCGGCCCAUGUUCCUUGGGACAGGACGUCACAGAGGGUGAGAAUCCCGUGCCUGGCCGGCUGCCUCCUCCCGGGUGAAGGGCCUUCGACGAGUCGAGUUGUUUGGGAAUGCAGCUCCAAGUGGGUGGUAAAUUUCAUCUAAAGCUAAAUACCGGCGGGAGACCGAUAGCGCACAAGUAGAGUGAUCGAAAGAUGAAAAGCACUUUGAAAAUAGAGUCAAAAAGUACGUGAAAUUGUUGAAAGGGAAGCGCUUGAGACCAGACUCAGGCCCGGGCAAACAUCGCGCCCCUCGGGGCCGUGCAAUUGCCUGGGCCUGGGCCAGCAUCAGUUGGCGUGGCGGGACAAAGGCGCGGGGAAUGUGGCUCCCCUCGAGGAGUGUUAUCAGGCCCGCGCUCAAUGCCGCCGACGUCGACUGAGGACCGCGCCUCGGCUAGGAUGCUGGCUUAAUGGCCUUCAGCGACCCGUCUUGAAACACGGACCAAGGAGUCUAACAUCUAUGCGAGUGUUUGGGCGACAAACCCUUGCGCGGAAUGAAAGUGAGCGGAGGUGGGAACCCCCCAGCGGGGCGCACCAUCGACCGAUCCUGAUGUCUUCGGAUGGAUUUGAGUAGGAGCAUAGCUGUUGGGACCCGAAAGAUGGUGAACUAUGCCUGAAUAGGGUGAAGCCAGAGGAAACUCUGGUGGAGGCUCGCAGCGGUUCUGACGUGCAAAUCGAUCGUCAAAUUUGGGUAUAGGGGCGAAAGACUAAUCG